GACGAACGCUGGCGGCGUGCCUAAUACAUGCAAGUUGAGCGCUGAAGGUUGGUACUUGUACCCACUGGAUGAGCAGCGAACGGGUGAGUAACGCGUGGGGAAUCUGCCUUUGAUCGGGGGACAACAUUUGGAAACGAAUGCUAAUACCGCAUAAAAACUUUAAACACAAGUUUUAAGUUUGAAAGAUGCAAUUGCAUCACUCAAAGAUGAUCCCGCGUUGUAUUAGCUAGUUGGUGAGGUAAAGGCUCACCAAGGCGAUGAUACAUAGCCGACCUGAGAGGGUGAUCCGCCAAAUUGGGAAUGAGACACGGCCCAAACUCCUAAGGGAGGCAGCAGUAGGGAAUCUUCGGCAAUGGACGGAAGUCUGACCGAGCAACGCCGCGUGAGGGGAGAAGGUUUUCGGAUCGUAAAACUCUGUUGGUAGGGAAGAAAGUUGGUGAGAGUGGAAAGCUCAUCAAGUGACGGUAACUACCCAGAAAGGGACGGCUAACUACGUG
rnacentral:rRNA from 1 species